rnacentral:rRNA from 1 species
GAUGAACGCUGGCGGCGUGCCUAAUACAUGCCAGUCGAGCGAACAGACGAGGAGCUUGCUCCUCUGACGUUAGCGGCGGACGGGUGAGUAACACGUGGAUAACCUACCUAUAAGACUGGGAUAACUUCGGGAAACCGGAGCUAAUACCGGAUAAUAUAUUGAACCGCAUGGUUCAAUAGUGAAAGACGGUUUUGCUGUCACUUAUAGAUGGAUCCGCGCCGCAUUAGCUAGUUGGUAAGGUAACGGCUUACCAAGGCAACGAUGCGUAGCCGACCGGAGAGGGUGAUCGGCCACACUGGAACUGAGACACGGUCCAGACUCCUACGGGAGGCAGCAGUAGGGAAUCUUCCGCAAUGGGCGAAAGCCUGACGGAGCAACGCCGCGUGAGUGAUGAAGGUCUUCGGAUCGUAAAACUCUGUUAUUAGGGAAGAACAAAUGUGUAAGUAACUAUGCACGUCUUGACGGUACCUAAUCAGAAAGCCACGGCUAACUACGUG